UACGUAGGGGGCAAGCGUUGUCCGGAUUUAUUGGGCGUAAAGAGCGUGUAGGCGGCUAGGUAGGUCCGUUGUGAAAACUCGAGGCUCAACCUCGAGACGCCGGUGGAAACCAUCUAGCUAGAGUCCGGAAGAGGCGAGUGGAAUUCCCGGUGUAGCGGUGAAAUGCGCAGAUAUCGGGAGGAACACCAAUGGCGAAGGCAGCUCGCUGGGACGUGACUGACGCUGAGUGAGCGAAAGCCAGGGGAGCAAACGGG
rnacentral:rRNA from 1 species